rnacentral:rRNA from 1 species
AAAUUGAAGAGUUUGAUCAUGGCUCAGAUUGAACGCUGGCGGCAGGCCUAACACAUGCAAGUCGAACGGUAACAGGAAGCAGCUUGCUGCUUCGCUGACGAGUGGCGGACGGGUGAGUAAUGUCUGGGAAACUGCCUGAUGGAGGGGGAUAACUACUGGAAACGGUGGCUAAUACCGCAUAACGUCGCAAGACCAAAGAGGGGGACCUUCGGGCCUCUUGCCAUCAGAUGUGCCCAGAUGGGAUUAGCUAGUUGGUGAGGUAACGGCUCACCAAGGCGACGAUCCCUAGCUGGUCUGAGAGGAUGACCAGCCACACUGGAACUGAGACACGGUCCAGACUCCUACGGGAGGCAGCAGUGGGGAAUAUUGCACAAUGGGCGCAAGCCUGAUGCAGCCAUGCCGCGUGUAUGAAGAAGGCCUUCGGGUUGUAAAGUACUUUCAGCGGGGAGGAAGGUGUUGUGGUUAAUAACCGCAGCAAUUGACGUUACCCGCAGAAGAAGCACCGGCUAACUCCGUGCCAGCAGCCGCGGUAAUACGGAGGGUGCAAGCGUUAAUCGGAAUUACUGGGCGUA